rnacentral:rRNA from 1 species
UACGUAGGUGGCAAGCGUUGUCCGGAUUUACUGGGCGUAAAGGGAGCGUAGGCGGAUACUUAAGUGGGAUGUGAAAUACCUGGGCUCAACUUGGGUGCUGCAUUCCAAACUGGGUGUCUAGAGUGUUGGAGAGGAAAGUGGAAUUCCUAGUGUAGCGGUGAAAUGCGUAGAGAUUAGGAAGAACACCAGUGGCGAAGGCGACUUUCUGGACAAUAACUGACGCUGAGGCUCGAAAGCGUGGGGAGCAAACAGGAUUAGAUACCCUGGUAGUCCACGCCGUAAGCGAUGGGUACUAGGUGUAGGAGGGAUCGACUCCGCCUGUGCCGCCGUUAACACGAUAAGUACCCCGCCUGGGGAGUACGGUCGCAAGAUUAAA